AUUGAACGCUGGCGGCAGGCCUAACACAUGCAAGUCGAACGGUAACAGGAAGCAGCUUGCUGCUUUGCUGACGAGUGGCGGACGGGUGAGUAAUGUCUGGGAAACUGCCCGAUGGAGGGGGAUAACUACUGGAAACGGUAGCUAAUACCGCAUAACGUCGCAAGACCAAAGAGGGGGACCUUAGGGCCUCUUGCCAUCGGAUGUGCCCAGAUGGGAUUCGCUAGUAGGUGGGGUAACGGCUCACCUAGGCGACGAUCCCUAGCUGGUCUGAGAGGAUGACCAGCCACACUGGAACUGAGACACGGUCCAGACUCCUACGGGAGGCAGCAGUGGGGAAUAUUGCACAAUGGGCGCAAGCCUGAUGCAGCCAUGCCGCGUGUAUGAAGAAGGCCUUCGGGUUGUAAAGUACUUUCAGCGGGGAGGAAGGGAGUAAAGUUAAUACCUUGGCUCAUUGACGUUACCCGCAGAAGAAGCACCGGCUAACUCCGUG
rnacentral:rRNA from 1 species